rnacentral:tRNA from 1 species
GGAGUUGUGGCUCAGUAGUAGAGCACUCACCUAGCACGUGUGAGGCCCUGGGUUUGAUCCUUAGCACCA